rnacentral:rRNA from 2 species
AACGGAUCUCUUGGUUCUGGCAUCGAUGAAGAACGCAGCGAAAUGCGAUAAGUAGUGUGAAUUGCAGAAUUCAGUGAAUCAUCGAAUCUUUGAACGCACAUUGCGCCCUUUGGUAUUCCAAAGGGCAUGCCUGUUCGAGCGUCAUUU